AAACAGACACCUUCAAAAACAUUUUUCAAGGUUGUGAAACUAUUCACAUGGUAAUUGAUGAUUAUUAACUCCUAAUGAUUGUUGUUUUUUCUAUUUUAAAAACUGGUAUGUGUUACUGUUCAUUAACAUUAUUGGACUGGUUUUAAUGUCAUGUUCUGAGUCCGAUAAUGUAUUACACCCCACUCCUGAUGAGUCACCACUGAGUAGUUAUACUUUUUAAACAUCAUUUUUAACAUUAUACAAAGCUGCAAAAAUGAUUGAGGGGACAAAAUUAAUCUCCUUAAUUUUGUCACUAGAGUCAAAUACUUUCUGUGGCCCACAUCAGAGUCAAAUAGUUUCUAUAGAACAAACUUCACGUCAGGAUAGGCAACCGAAAUAAAUGUGUGUUAUAUUAGACAGAGGGAGUAAAAUGUAGACAAGCAAUAAACAUUUCAGAACAACUACUAGUCGAAUAAGACAUGGGACAGAUGACGAAUUAUGGCAAAGAUAUAUAUUUAUAGACGAAUACACUUGAAACAAAUAGCCAAACCGAAAACUGCGAACAUUACUAGUGCCUACCCCGCGAUCAAACCUCCAUACACAAUCAAAUCAAAUGCAGUCUAACGUGAUCACUGACAGCUGCCUUGAAGGACACAAAUAAAAAUGUUUUCUGCUUCUAAGAUAAGUGAAAUGUAGGCUAAACUGACAACGGAGUGAAGUGCAGAAAUGUCAAAUAUCUACCAAGUCGCAGCAAUGAAGAAUUGGGUGUGGGGUGGGGUGGUUCUGUCAGGGGGAGAUUUUCGGCACAACACCGGGACGCUAAUCUAAAUAAUGACAACAGACUUGUUAAUUUUCUGAUUUCAUUAGGCUAUAAUACACCAUGCAAUUGGUAGAUACAGCCUGAAACGAAUGUAACAUUGUGCAAAUGUUCCUUACAAGCAAGAAUAUUGAAUACAAUUACAUUUGAACUUACUCUACACCGGUGAUCUGUGCGGUUUGUCCUUCAAUUGCUCGAAAUUCGAGACAAAUUAUCCACAGGAAAGUAUUGUUUACCCGAAUUUUUAGAGCACCAUAACUGCCGUUUUAAAUUAUGAUCACCUGGCACGUGCACAAAACCAUGUAAACACCUGCAAACUUCAGUUUCAUGAAAACGUCUGGUAUGCACGUACUUCCGUAUUAUGCACUGGCAAAAUAAAUCUUGAUUGCCACACACAAAGAUCCGUGUUUUGAAGUCGGGUUAAUAACACUGCCCUGUUGAUAUUUUGUCUAAAAUGUAUACCAACAGAAGGACGAAAACCACGGACAGAUCACGUGUAACCACACCAGCCCAGGACCUACACAUCUGUCUUCUUCAGCUGUGGUUUCAUCUGAGACCAGCCACCUGGACAGCUGAUGAAACUGUGGGUUUGCACAAUCAAAAUAUUUCUGCACAAACUGUCAGAAGCCGUCUGAGGGAAGCUCAUCUGCGUGUUCGUCGUCUUCACCAGGGUCUCAACCUAACUUCAGUGAGCAAAUGCUCACCUUCGAUGCCACUGGCAUGCUGGAGAAGUAUGCUCUUCACGAAUGAAUCCCUGUUUCAAUUGUACUGGGCAGAUGGCACACCAGAUAGUGACUGGUUUUCUGAUCCACGCCCAGUCUUUUUUAAGGUAUCUGUGACCAACAGAUGCAUAUCUGUAUUCUUAGCAGUGUUGUAGUACUCGAGACCGGUCUCGAGACCACAUUUUGAGUGUUUUUCUUGUCUCUGCGUCGGAUACAUUUGUACUCAGUCUUGACUCUGUCUCAGACAGUGAAGCCUUGUAAAUUCUUCGAGACCAGCAGAGUACAAAAUUCAUAAUAAUCAGCUUCCAUUCAGUAAGUGCAUAAAACAGGUUUGUUUGUAUGAUAUGUUAGAUUAAAGACAGACACAAAUGUCAAGUUCAAGCAUUGUACAAGUCCCUACAUACGGGGUCUGGGAAAGAGCCCAGCAAGUUGAUUACCUAUCAACUAGACUAACAUUAUUGUUUCAAUAGAAAGUCCAAACAUAACAGCACAACAUUAAGUUAACAGUCAAGUCAUAACAAAUAAAUGCAUUACAUUUAUUUUUA